ACACACACACACACACACACACACACACACACACACACACACGAGUCUCUCCUACCCCAGGGAAGAAUGUCUGUGGCAGCAAAGAAAGAGCCCUUUGAGUAGCCAACAGGGUGAGAACAGCCAAGGUCCCAGGACCCCAGGGACAUUUCCAGCCUGUGAUUUGCUGACCUAACCCAAAGGACCUCCUGAUUGGUUGGUCAUUUCUGAAAGAUUAGCAUUUCUGUGCAAGGGCAGAAUUGACACAUUCUAGAGAGAGAAGGUAAAAAAUAAUCCAAGAGAUAAGCAAAUAGCACAUGGGAGAGGGCUGCCCCAGACAUCCUGAAAGUGGGAAGUGGUGUUGGGUCACUUGUGUGCCCCGUGGCCCCCGUGAUCUGCUUUUAGGUACUUUCACUGGACCCCUCUACUCGUUAUCUUGGGAGAAACAUCCAAACCCUUAGUAGCCACUGGCUUUUCAGGGUCUGUCUUCUAACUCUCUAAUCUGGGAAAUGCUCAUCUAUUCCCCGAGGUUCCUUGAAGACCCACUUGGCAUUCUAGGACAUGCCAUUGGGCAGCAAGCUCAGAUACUAAGUGCCACCUGAUUGCAUGAAGCACGUGGGGAAUUUCCACAUAGACUUUCUGUGUGCAGGAAACAUAGGAAUAAUUUUCUUCUCUACAAAGAAAUAUGCUUCUUGCCUGUUUUUCUGGAAACGUAGAUCCUUUUUAGUGGAUCUUCUAUUCUCUAACCUUUGAUAGAGACUUAGGAGGGAAAAGUAAUUUCCUUUUGUUCUCAGCUCCAUCCUGAGUAAACUGGUAAGUGUGAGUCAGGAGGUGAUAGGGAGAGUGGCAAGCCUGGGGCAAGUGGGGGAGAGCAUCCUCAUCUCAAAGGAGCAGCCUUGCUGGAACGCAGACCUGGAUGGUCACAUCUAGCAAAAUGUUUACAAACUGUGGACUCUUCUGAUUUCUAAGUAUUGUUAACUAAUUAAACUUUAAAACACCGUGUGUGUGUCAAACACCACAUCUAAAGGCGCGGUUUGGCCCUUGGUGGCUCUUGGUGAUUUUGGCUUUAGGGGCUACCACUGGGGCAGCAACUCCCAACACUGUGCUCUGUAUGUACGUGGCAAUCUGUGGGGCACCUGCGGGGAGUUUUGCACGGGGAGGCCCCAGGAGCACUCAGGAGUAUGGAUGUGUGGUUUCCAGGGAGUUUAUAGCCUUCUUACAGUGAAAAAGCCCUACUUGGGUCAGAGAAGCAGUAAACAAGAGAAGACGGCGUUCAGCCGUAUGGAACAGUAUAGGAGUCAGAAGGCAAGCCCGGGACCCCUUGGAGUGGUCAGAGAAGCUCCCCCAAGAAGGGCAGGACUUGCCUUGGCCUGGAAGGGCAGGGAGAAGGAAUAUUUAGGGAGAUUUCCCAGUGUGGCUCAAAAGUGGUCGUAACACAUACUCUCCACAUAGCACUUGACUUUUAAAAAAAUUUUAUUGAAGCACAGUUGAUUUACAAUGUUGUGUUAAUUUCUUCUGUAUAGCAGAGUGAUUUUCAGUUAUGUACACACAUAUAUAUAUUCUUUUCCAUUAUGGUUUAUCACAGGAUAUUGAGUAUAGUUCCCUGUGCUAUACAGUAGGACCUUGUCGUUUAUCCAUUCUAUACAUAAUAGUUUGCAUCUUCUAGUCCCAAACUUCCAAUCCAUCCCUCUCCGUCAACACCCUGACCUUCGCAACCACAAGUCUGUUCUCUAUGUCUGUGCAUCUGUUUCUGUUUCGUAGGUAUGUUCAUUUGUGUGGUUUUUUUUUUUUUUUUUUGCGGUACGUGGGCCUCUCACUGCUGUGGCCUCUCCUGUUGCGGAGCACAGGCUCUGGACACUCAGGCUCAGUGGCCAUGGCUCACGGUCCCAGCUGCUCCGCGGCACGUGGGAUCUUCCCAGACCGGGGCAUGAACCCAUGUCCCUUGCAUCGGCAAGCGGACUCUCAACCCCGGCGCCACCAGGGAAGCCCUAUUGAGGGGUUUUGAGGAGAGGCAUAAGAUGAUUGUGGUGUGUGAGCAGAAUUAUUACGGUACAGUUUUGUUGGAGGAACUAGAGGGGAAACACUGGCCUGGGAGGCUAACGAGAGGACACAGGCCACUGUGGUGACAGAGAGCGUGGCUUGUCACAAGGACAGGCCCAAAGCCUGGAGAAAACGGUUUUCAGCUACUUUUGGCAAUUCCACGAGUACUUUAGAGACAAAUGCUGUUACAAGAUAGUAUGUUGUUGAUUACCGAGGCAACCAUUCCUAGAGCUUUCUGGUGAGCCCUGGGGGCAUCUGCCUCCAUUUUAGAAAAAUCCAUUUCUAUUUUGCACCCAAUUUUCUCUUCUUACUGUGUUUCACAGUUGGUAGGAGGUUUGUUAUUAGGUUUUUAAAGUUUCCCCUGUGCGGCCCUCGUCUGGAAGAAAACACUGACCCCGCUGGCCACAGUUUAAAACGUUUUGACCUCUGCCCAAGCAUUUCUGGAUUUUUCUAUUUGUUUAGUUUCUAAGAGGGAGGAGUACAAACUCGCUGGGAAGCCCAAAACAAAGGGUGAUGUUUUCGAGGUGGGAACAAGGGAGAGGGUUUCCUUCUGUCUCUACAUCUCUCACCACCUUCACCCCAACAACUGGCAGACUCGCAGAGCGACUUUUUAGAUAAAAGAAGAAAGCACGGGUCUCUUUUAGCAACUUGAAACAAAUAAAUACGCAAAGAACCACCAAACUUGGCCGUUUGCCAUCUGUUCAACUGGAAAAGCCCUCCCCCAGCUCACAGCGUAACUGCUGGCUGAAGCGAGUUGAACAGGUUAGAGAAGGCACCUCACCUCACAGGAGCACCAAGCAUGGCCUUUGCAGCUGACGGGAAAAUCGCUCCUUUAUUUAUUUAUUUACUUAUUUACUUACUUACUUACGCUUGAACCCAGGCCCUUGGCAGUGAAAGCACCGAGUCCUAACCUCUGGACCACCAGGGAAUUCCCAGAAAAAUCACUUCUUCAGGAGGCAGUCCUUUUAUAGGGAGGGUCGGUAUAAACAUUAAACUUCAAAGUCAGAAGUAUAUUUGAUCUCCUUGGAGUUUGGGUCUAAUAUGGGCAAGAUUGGAACAAGAGUCACCUAGAUUCCAAGCAAGUUAUGUAGCAGGGGGCCCGGGUUCGAUCCCUGGUCAGGGAACUAGAUCCCACGUGCAUACCGCAACUAAGAGUUCACAUGCCACAACUAAGGAGCCCACAUGCCGCAACUAAGGAGCCCUGGAGCUGCAACUAAGGAGCCCGCCUGCCACAACGAAGACCCGGCACAACCAAAUAAAUAAAUAAAAUAAUAUUUAAAAAAAUAAAGAAAAAUAUAUGAUUUAAUGACAAGGUGUUACUUAUGUUCAACAACUGAAGGCUGGGAGAAGUGAUGUGGUCAAAGUGUGUAAGUUGUAGAGAGUAGACCUACCUGAGGGUGAGAGCGCGGGACCUGGCCAGGGAAUCCCUGCCUUUCCAUUGUGAUCUCAGAACCCUUCGGGCAGUAGAUCUCCUUGGAGCUUCCAUUUCCCUGUCUGUGACUUUUCUCUGGAGGUCCGUGCACUGGAACAACUAAUAUGGAGCGUUGCUCACAGGGUAACCUCGUGCAGGACCAGUACCUCCGCUGAGAGAUUUAAAAUUCACAAACAUUUGAGUUGAGAGAGAAUUAUGACGCCUGGGAAGGAGCUAACCCUAAUAUUUACCUUUAGCAAUUGACAGCUUAUUUAAAAACAGUGAAGUAUGUUGGCACAGGGAAGGGAGGAUGGAGUCUAGUGCCUGCCUACCCCAUAGUAAAUUCAAGGAGGCAAACACAUGUAGUGAAUUUAUGGCUGCCCAGUGGAAUCCUGUUUUUAAGUGUUCUGAAAAGCUCACUGGGUUUUUGUUGUAAAAUAAGGCAGGUGGUGAGGUGCCAAUCCUGAGUACUCGUGGGGAGACUUGUCCAGGCGAUAGCUUCAUGAGGGAAGCUGCCUUUGACCUCAGAGGAAUUGAUUUUUGGUAGCCGUAUUGUUGCAUUUUAAAGUUGCUCAAGGCUUUUUUUUCUUCUUUUAACCAAAACAUCUGUUGGGAUUUUUUUCUCUUUGAGAAGUAAUACAGGAUCAUUGGAGAAAAUUGGAAAAUACAGAAAAGUGUAUAGAGGGAAAAAUCACCUAUAGGCCUCCUACCGGAAGUAACUGAUGUUCCUGUGUCACAGGUUAGCCUUAUCUUUCUCUAUGUGUGCAUAUUUCCAUCUAAGAAUAAAUUCUUUUUUUUUU